rnacentral:snRNA from 1 species
GUGCUCACUUCAGCAGCACAUGUACUAAAAUUGGAAAGAUACAAAGAAGAUUGGCAUGACCCCUGUGCAAGGAUGACAUGCAAAUUCUUGAAGUGUUCCAUAUUUUU